rnacentral:lncRNA from 10 species
AGUCUCAAUGUGAGAACCUGGGUAUUUCAGUUGAAGGUGCUGCAUUUAAUAAGCUUUUUCAUUCCACUCCGUAUAUAAUCUGCUAACUGUGAAGGAUCUCACCAAUUUUCCUGACAAUGUGGACCAGCAGGAGGAAGAACAAGGACACUGUCCCCGUCCUUUCUUCAUUCAUAAUGGAGCCAUCUAUGUUCCCUUAUCAAGUAAUGAAGCAGAUAUUUAUAGCUUCCUCAAGGGGAUGGGAUUGAAGGUGUUCACUAACUCAAAAAUCCGAAAACCAAAGUCGUGUUCAGUCAUCCCUUCCGUGUCUGCAGGAGCAGUAGGUCAAGGAUACUAUGGAGGUAAAACAGCAAUUUGCUUUUAAUUUUAUUUCAUGUCCAACAAUAUUACUAUGCCCAAAAUGCUAAAAUGAGGUAAUGUAGCCCUAUUUCCACUUUAUACACACAAAGAAACCAAGAUUCAAAUUAAUUGUUUCUUGCUGAGGUGACUUAGCUGGUGAUAGCUAGAACUGAUCAGAGAUUUUUUUUUAGAUACAUCCGAUACUUCAGGGCACAAAAUCAGAUAAAAUACAAGAUUCUGAUGUACUGUAAGAGAGGGAAAAUGCUGACAAUGGAAAGAAAGAGUAAUUCUGAUUAUGGAAACAGGAAAGACAUUCAUAGGGAUGCUGUAUUUUAAAAAACAUAAAGAAGGACAAAGGGCUUCACUGGUGACAAGAAACAACGUGAACAUCACAGAAAUAUCUCAUAAUCCAUGG